CCCAGAGAACCUGUGUCUACUUCUGAGCGCUGGGAAUGAAGCAGAUCUCGCAAAAGGGGAGGAAGGCCUUCACCGCUGAACCCGAGCUUUGCCAUUUCGAAGUGCUGAGUCACCUCGUCCUCUCAGGGUCAGACACUUUCACGCAGGAAACGUCCUGCAGAGCACCGCAGCGGGAGCACCGAGCUGAUGUGGAAACUCAGAGAGGAUGCCACUGUUUUGAACUAUUUUGAAGGCACAGCCACCAGAGCUUUAGGGACAGGGUAUUUUAUCACAGCAACAGAAAUGAAACCAAAACAACUCCACAAUAAAAUUCUUGAGUUUCUUGGGGCCAAGAAGAUGACACGAUAAGAUAAAGACACUGGCCAAGCAUGACCUCCAGAGUUUGGCCCUUGCAUAAAGGAGAAAAUUAAUUCCUUCAGUUGUUCUCUGACCUCCACAUGCGUCCUGUAACAUGGGUGUAUGCAUACACAUAAACACACAUCCACACGUUGUUAAAUAAAUAAAAAAAAUAUGUUAACA
rnacentral:lncRNA from 1 species